ACUCAAAGGAAUAGACGGGGGCCCGCACAAGCAGCGGAGCGUGUGGUUUAAUUCGAGGCUACACGAAGAACCUUACCUGGGAUGACAUUUAAGUAGUAGGGAACCGAAAGGGGACCGACCUUCGGGAGCUUAAACAGGUGCUGCAUGGCUGUCGUCAGCUCGUGCCGUGAGGUGUUCGGUUAAGUCCGCAAACGAGCGCAACCCUCGGGGUUAGUUACACGUGUCUAACCCGACUGCCCGUGAGAAACGGGAGGAAGGUGGGGAUGACGUCAAGUCAGCAUGGCCUUUAUACCCAGGGCUACACACACGCUACAAUGGGCGGUACAAAGGGUAGCGAAACCGCGAGGUGGAGCCAAUCCAGAAAGCCGUUCGUAGUUCGGAUUGCAGGCUGCAACCCGCCUGCAUGAAGUCGGAGUUGCUAGUAACCGCGCGUCAGCCAUAGUGCGGUGAAUACGUUCCCGGGCCUUGUACACACCGCCCGU
rnacentral:rRNA from 1 species